UACGGGGGGGAGCAAGCGUUGUUCGGAUUUACUGGGCGUAAAGGGCGCGUAGGCGGCCUCUGCAAGUCGACUGUGAAAUCUCCGGGCUUAACCCGGAACGGUCAGCCGAUACUGCAGGGCUAGAGUGCAGAAGGGGCAACUGGAAUUCUCGGUGUAGCGGUGAAAUGCGUAGAGAUCGGGAAGAACACCGGUGGCGAAGGCGGUCGACUGGGCCAGUACUGGACGCUGAGGCGCGACAGCGUGGGGGAGCAA
rnacentral:rRNA from 1 species